rnacentral:rRNA from 1 species
UACGAAGGGGGGCUAGCGUUGCUCGGAAUCACUGGGCGUAAAGGGUGCGUAGGCGGGUCUUUAAGUCAGGGGUGAAAUCCUGGAGCUCAACUCCAGAACUGCCUUUGAUACUGAGAAGCUUGAGUUCGGGAGAGGUGAGUGGAACUGCGAGUGUAGAGGUGAAAUUCGUAGAUAUUCGCAAGAACACCAGUGGCGAAGGCGGCUCACUGGCCCGAUACCUGACGCUGAGGUGCGAAAGCGUGGGGGAGCAAACAGG